rnacentral:rRNA from 1 species
GACGAACGCUGGCGGCGUGCUUAACACAUGCAAGUCGAACGGAAAGGCCCUGCUUUUGUGGGGUGCUCGAGUGGCGAACGGGUGAGUAACACGUGAGUAACCUGCCCUUGACUUUGGGAUAACUUCAGGAAACUGGGGCUAAUACCGGGUAGGAGCUCCUGCUGCAUGGUGGGGGUUGGAAAGUUUCGGCGGUUGGGGAUGGACUGGCGGCUUAUCAGCUUGUUGGUGGGGUAGUGGCUUACCAAGGCUUUGACGGGUAGCCGGCCUGAGAGGGUGACCGGCCACAUUGGGACUGAGAUACGGCCCAGACUCCUACGGGAGGCAGCAGUGGGGAAUAUUGCACAAUGGGCGGAAGCGUGAUGCAGCAACGCCGCGUGCGGGAUGACGGCCUUCGGGUUGUAAACCGCUUUCGCCUGUGACGAAGCGUGAGUGACGGUAAUGGGUAAAGAAGCACCGGCUAACUACGUG